AGGCCAGCACGCCAACCCUCACCGACUCCCGAGGUCAGUCUCCAUAAGAAAUGAGGAAGAGGCACUGGCAAAUGGUUAAGGGCAAGGUGGCGGUAUCCCUGCCAUCAUCGUCGGGCCGCCGAUUCAUUUGGAGGGGGUGAAUUGUAGCAAGUGGGCAAGUAGUCGUAGUUUGGUGCCUACUCCCUCUCCAGUUGCACAGUUAGUCUCUCUUCCUGUCACACACUACGUCACUAAUUGGGGAAUGGAAUACGAUUGAUUAGGCUACCUGACGUAUUACCCACAGGCUAUGUAUAGACACCUGGGGUCCUAAAGCCGGUAGCUUGUUGUCAACACCACUGGUUCUAGGGCUGUGUAGCAGAGUCACGGGUGCUGCGUGAAAGCAACAGGAGGGCGAGCCGCUGUAUGUUGAUGUGCAUGUGGGAGAAUGACGCCGUGUUGUUGUGCGUAACAAGUGUCUGCUGGGCACUGUUACCGUAGCAGUGAGGGGAGUUGUUCUCAGGAAGCCAUCAGCUACAGUGUUCGUAGCCUUGUUGAAAAGUGAUAGACCCUCGCAGCUACACAGGGAUGCUAGUUGCUGUUCUCUUUUAAUGUGUGUUUGAUGCAUUGGUGCCGCUUAUAGUUUGUUUACUUUUCUUUUUUUGUUCCUCUAGCCUAUCGGCCUAAGUAGCUUGUGUAGGUACCACCUAUUUAAUGUGAGCCGCAGGCUAGAGUGGAUUUAUUUUGUUUGUUAUUUUUCUUGUUUACUGUACUUCCAGUUUGUGUGUCUCCCUCCCCCCUCCACAGCUAAUAGCCUCGGU